UUAUUGAUUAUUGAAGAAAGGGUACAACCAAAAAUGUCUAGAUAUAGACAAACAGAAAAGAGAAAACUGAUAAAAUGCUAAGCAAAAAAGAAGACGUUGAACCGAUGAGGGAAGGUGCUAAACGGAAGGAAAACUCGCUGAAUGAAAGAACAGCAUAGUAGAUAUAUUACGACUUCGUCACCCCCUCAAGCUGGAAAUAGAUAUUUUUCAUUCCCAGGUAGCGGUAGGUUAAUGGAGGUAAAGGUUUGGUGAAGAUAUCAACAGUCUGUUCAAUAGAAGAAAUUGGAGAAGUUUGAGAAGUCCCUUUUGAUUUUCCUCACAGAUGAUAAGGCAAUGAAUGUUGAUAUGUUUUGUAUGUUCG
rnacentral:lncRNA from 1 species